rnacentral:rRNA from 1 species
AUUGAACGCUAGCGGGAUGCCUUACACAUGCAAGUCGAACGGCAGCGCGGACUUCGGUCUGGCGGCGAGUGGCGAACGGGUGAGUAAUGUAUCGGAACGUGCCCAGUAGCGGGGGAUAACUACUCGAAAGAGUAGCUAAUACCGCAUACGCCCUACGGGGGAAAGGGGGGGAUCGCAAGACCUCUCACUAUUGGAGCGGCCGAUAUCGGAUUAGCUAGUUGGUGAGGUAAAGGCUCACCAAGGCGACGAUCCGUAGCUGGUUUGAGAGGACGACCAGCCACACUGGGACUGAGACACGGCCCAGACUCCUACGGGAGGCAGCAGUGGGGAAUUUUGGACAAUGGGGGAAACCCUGAUCCAGCCAUUCCGCGUGUGCGAUGAAGGCCUUCGGGUUGUAAAGCACUUUUGGCAGGAAAGAAAUCGCAUGGAUUAAUACUCUGUGUGGAUGACGGUACCUGCAGAAUAAGCACCGGCUAACUACGUGCCAGCAGCCGCGGUAA